CGCGCACUUGACCUUCGGGGGAUUGUUGGGCGGCGAGCGGCGGACGGGUGAGUAAUGCCUGGGAAAUUGCCCUGAUGUGGGGGAUAACCAUUGGAAACGAUGGCUAAUACCGCAUGAUAGCUUCGGCUCAAAGAGGGGGACCUUCGGGCCUCUCGCGUCAGGAUAUGCCCAGGUGGGAUUAGCUAGUUGGUGAGGUAAGGGCUCACCAAGGCGACGAUCCCUAGCUGGUCUGAGAGGAUGAUCAGCCACACUGGAACUGAGACACGGUCCAGACUCCUACGGGAGGCAGCAGUGGGGAAUAUUGCACAAUGGGCGCAAGCCUGAUGCAGCCAUGCCGCGUGUAUGAAGAAGGCCUUCGGGUUGUAAAGUACUUUCAGCAGUGAGGAAGGAGGUAUCGUUAAUAGCGGUAUCUUUUGACGUUAGCUGCAGAAGAAGCACCGGCUAACUCCGUGCCAGCAGCCGCGGUAAUACGGAGGGUGCGAGCGUUAAUCGGAAUUACUGGGCGUAAAGCGCAUGCAGGUGGUUUGUUAAGUCAGAUGUGAAAGCCCGGGGCUCAACCUCGGAUUGCAUUUGAAACUGGAAGCUAGAGUACUGAGAGGGGGGUAGAAUUCAGGGUAGCGGUGAAA
rnacentral:rRNA from 1 species